UCCCACAUGGUCUAAUGGUAGGGAUUCCUGGUUUCUCACCUAGGCAGCCUGGGUUCAAUUCCUGGUGCGGGAA
rnacentral:tRNA from 1 species